AAUAGAAAUCUUUGCUGGACAGAAGACUGUAUGUAUAGACAUCCAAUCAUCCAUCCAUACAUACAUAUAUGUGUGUGUGCAUGUGUGUAAAUAAUA
rnacentral:miRNA from 1 species